GGAGUUAGCCGGUGCUUCUUCUGUGAGUGAUGUCCUUCCUGCCGGCUAUUAACCCGCAGGCCUUCUUCCUCACUGAAAGUGCUUUACAACCCGAAGGCCUUCUUCACACACGCGGCAUGGCUGGAUCAGGGUUGCCCCCAUUGUCCAAUAUUCCCCACUGCUGCCUCCCGUAGGAGUCUGGGCCGUGUCUCAGUCCCAGUGUGGCUGAUCAUCCUCUCAGACCAGCUACGGAUCGUCGCCUUGGUGAUCCGUUACCUCACCAACCAGCUAAUCCGACAUAGGCUCAUCCGAUAGCGCGAGGCCCGAAGGUCCCCCGCUUUCCCCCGUAGGGCGUAUGCGGUAUUAGCCUGGGUUUCCCCAGGUUAUCCCCCACUACCGGGCAGAUUCCUAUGCAUUACUCACCCGUCCGCCGCUCGCCACCAGGGAGCAAGCUCCCCGUGCUGCCGCUCGACUUGCAUGUGUUAGGCCUGCCGCCAGCGUUCAAUCUGAACCAAGAUCAAAUUCUGA
rnacentral:rRNA from 1 species